GAAGUCAACAGUACGCAGCAGAAUUCUCCGACUAUCUAUAAGUUAUUGCUGAAGCCAUGUCGAAUCGUUAUAGUAACCAAAACAGGAACGAGAAAACUCAGAAGAAGUUUGUUCCAAAGAAGGAAAUGCAAGCUUCUCAAACCCUAGCGAAUUCCUUCAGGCAAUCAGUUUCUAUCAAAUCUGAAGGAAGUACCAACGCCGAUAACUCCAGUAGUGCCGGUUCUUCUGCUGGAGAGGUCAAGAGUAGGGUUAGGAUGGGAGAAAGUGGCGCCUGGGUUUCCGCUGCUAUUCCUAGUGGAAAGUUCGUGGAUUAUUUGCCUCAGGAUGAGGCUGUAGCAGCUGGGCUUGGAGCCGAUGAGGGUGCAUUGGAUCCUGUGGAAUCGCAGCGUGUGGUGGAUGUUUUGAACAGGGAGUUGUUUAGGUUACUGAAGAUGAAUGCAAGAGACUUCUGGCGGGAAGUGGCCAGCGACAGCUCCCUUCACUCUUUUCUUGAAAGCUUUCUGAAGUUCAGGAGUAGGUGGUAUGAUUUUCCAUAUCGAGGAGCCAGGGGUAUAGUCGCUGGGGUCGUCGUUGGUGAGUUCGAGCUCUGCAGGCGUAUCUUUAUGGUCUUGUAUCGCAUAUCGUCAAAUCGGGACCCUGGAGCUAAGACUGCUGAUAGUCUUACUCAGAAAGAUCACGAAGCCCUUUUGCAGGAGAAGAAGUUGCUUGAUUUACCGAAGUUGUUAGACAUAUGUGCCAUAUACGGUCAUGAAAAUGAAGAUCUGACAAGAAUAUUGGUCGUCAAUGCCAUAAAGUCACAGCCAUGGAUCCAUGAUGAUCUUUCAUCUGUUAUUACACACUUUCUUAGCAUUGUGCAGACUAUGUAUGAGAGGUGUAGCUCAUCGUUAGAGGUUUUAUUUUCCUCCAGUCACUUUCAAGAUCAUGGGCAUAGUCGACUUCAAACAGACUAUCUAGAGGUGAUGGAUUUCUUAAAUGAUGCUGUGGUAUCUAUGGAUGCGUUUGUCAAUGCGUAUAAGCAAGCAUCCAUCUACUUCUGCUGUCCUGUUGAAAUGAGUCAUGGAAAUGAGGAGGUUCUUACUACCCUUGCAAGAUUGCAUAAUUCAUUGCUUCCCUCUUUGCGGCGGGGCUUCCACAUAAUUUUAACCUCCGGAGAGAAAAGUUUGACGGAGUCAUCUAAUGAAAUGUGCUCAAAUGUUUUUGUCAGUCUCAAAAUGUUAUCUACAAGGAUAGUAAAUUUUGGUUGGAAGCUGCUAUACUUGUGCUAUCUAAGUGAUGAGGCGUUUGUUGAAAGUUCUCCGCUUCCUGCUACCAUGAAAAUGUUCCCGACCAAUGUGGAGGAUCCUGCUAUAAGAGCAGAUAUAUUAGUGCAGUCAGUGAGGGAUAUCAGUGGAGAUUACUUGCAGGCUCUAGAGGGCCAUAGAAAAGGAACGUUUCUCCAAAUCAUUGAACAAAAUUACAACAUAGUGAGCAGAAUCGAGUUACUACGGAAUACAGGGUGGAUAUCAAUGGAUGAUGAUCAAUUCAAGUUUCUGUUGGGGAUCACAAUACACCCUGUAGAAGAUAAUAUUGGAAGGGCAGCCCAUCCGGCAGCCUCUGGAAAAGACAACCGACCCCAGGUUGAUGAAGACGCUGCUAUUCUGGAGUCAAAAAUAAGUCAAAUAAGAGACCUGUUCCCUGAUUAUGGAAAAGGUUUCUUAGCUGCUUGUCUUGAAGUAUAUAACCAGAAUCCUGAAGAGGUCAUUCAGAGGAUUCUUGAGGGGAACCUUCAUGAGGAAUUGCAGUCUUUGGACAUCUCCUUGGAGAAAUUACCACCACCCAAGUCUGAUGUUGCAUCCACUUCACACUCUCUCCUCCAAAGGAGGGCCGCGGAGGUUAGGCGCCCAUCUGCAAAUUGAUCCAACCAAAAAGAUGUUAUUGAGAAGCUCAUCAACUCCUUUACUCAAUUCAUGGAAACCGAAAUCAUGUGGGUCGUCGCCGGAAUCCGAUUUACUACCCAUAACGACCCAGCAAUUGAACAGGACACGAUCUGUGUUAAUGUCCACGACGUUUGGUCCGGAUGAAUCUCCGGCCAAACAUACGUCUCCGACGAAACACGCACCUUAUGGGUGUAUGUGUGAGUUGGACCCACGAGAUCCAGCUGUUCCGAAGAAGAACAAAAACGGAACAAAAAGAGAGGCAAAGAUGCCGAACCUGAAGAAUAACGAAUUGGGUUCGACGGAGGUGAGGAGGUUGUUGUCGAAUUCUGGUUUGGGGAAUGCCGAGGAGGAGGCUAGUGUGGCGGUUGAGGAGAAAGGGAGGGUGUUGCAGUCUCUGGUGGCGGGUGGUGUAGGUGGAGGAGGAGGAGGUAAAUCUUGCGGUGGCGGAGGAUCGCAUGGUGGAGAUGGGUCUGAUCCUCAGGAUUCAAAUAGUUGGCAUGGACCUGAUAGUAUAGAUGCCUAUUACCAGAAAAUGAUCCAAGCCAACCCAGGAAAUGGUCUCCUUCUGGCCAAUUAUGCCAGAUUCUUGAAGGAGGUUAAGGCUGAUUUAGAAAAAGCUGAGGAAUACUGCGGAAGAGCAAUUUUAGCAAACCCGAAUGAUGGUAAUGCGUUGUCACUCUACGGUGAACUGAUAUGGCAAACUCAGAAAGACGCUGCUCGUGCCCGCACUUACUUUGAUCGAGCUGUGAAAUCUGACCCUGAUGACUGCCACGUACUGGCCUCUUAUGCUCGAUUCCUGUGGGAUGCUGGUGAAGAAGAUGAGAAUGAGGGUGAGGAAGAUGAACUUAGGCAAUUUAUAAUACAACAUGAGAAUUCAGCAUCAGCCCAGAACUUCUUUGGUGCACCGUCUCAUCGACCUCCCUUGACUGCUGCUUCUUAGUUUCACAGCCUCUUCCCAUGUUAAUUACACACUCUUGAGAACAUGGUUUAGAUAACUAAUAAGUACUGCUAGUAUAUAAGUAGCUAUGAAAUAGAUUGCUCUCGACUAUGAAGAGUUUCCCCCUUCCUUCUCUUUUACAAGCACUUAUAAAAACUAGAGCUCUAACUAAUUUUACUUUUGUAAUAGCUGAUAAGUGAUAACCGAGUAUUAUAAUUUAUAUACUUCGCGUUGUUUCUCAAAUAAUAAUGCAU
rnacentral:misc_RNA from 1 species